UAGUUAAGUGGGGUUUCUUAAUUUAAUUGAGAUUAAAAAUAAAAGAAAAAUCCCUAUUUAGUGAAGUAACGUCGCUUAAUUAGGUCCUCUAAGAAAUGUUUCCAACUAGACACGCGUCGCAGAAUCAGAUGUCUAGUCUCUCUCAUCUCCAUCUUUCUCCCCACUUCGUGUUCUCCGUCGGUUUCGAAACCGUGAAGAAGGGCGAUUGAUCUCUCCUCGACAGAAGAUUCAGACGACGAUUCCGUGUCUCCUCCUUGAUCUCUCGGUGGUCGGCGUGAUUCUCGUUGUCUCUCUGGUGGCUGUCGUCGGCGACUCCGCCUCUCUUUUGUGAUCUCUCCUCGACACAGAGAAACACUCGGGGUCUCACUCCUCGAGGACUCCGCCUAUGUUUCCUCAUCGACGAUUAAACCAUCCAUCUCUCUCUCUCGACGGUUCUCAACUUGGCGAGCUCUGUCUGGGUAGCUCAACUUGACGAAAGAAAAACGGCGACCUCUAUUUCGUGUUCUGUCUCAUCGAAGCAUCAAAUCGGCGACAGUUGGUGCUCGGUCGAAUGAAUCAAAAGGUAAAGAACUGUUUUUUGUUUGUAUGUCUAAAUCCUUUAAUUCAUGUUUGUCUUAAAUUGAUCUUAAAUAUCGGUCAAUUUGUGAUUAUGUCGCUUGUGAUUCUUAGUGAAAUAUUUCAGUGAAAUUGUCUUUGAUACAUUUGUGAUUCGUUGUAAAAUUCAUUUGUGAUUCUCGGUGAAUUUAAAUCAUUUCUAAUUCUCAGUGAAUGUUUUCUCUUGUGUUUGUUACAUACCGGUCAAUUUGUGUGGGAGAUGGAAGGAACCUCCAAGAGACAUGAAGGCUUAACUAACAAGUGAACCUCGAAGAGACAUGAAGUCUCGGCUAACCAUCACCAAACCAGUUAUAUGUCUAGUCGUGGGGGUUGAGCAUGAUGAAUGUUGUGAUCAAUGAUGAUCAGAAGCUCAUUUCUUUUCUCUCUUCUAUUAAAGACAUUCCUUCUUCUCUUCGAUCAUUCAAACACUCCUUCCAUUUCCUUUUUAUCAAGAAAACACAUUCCUUUUCCUUCUGUUCCAUCUCUCUUCUUUAAAAAAAAAUCAGAUAUGGAUGGUACUUCAUAUCAAAACUUUGUUGAUCUUCUACAAAGUCAAGAAGAUACUAGCUUCGGUUUUCAAUCUUCUGGUACACAUCUGUCUCGCACUCAAGCUCAUGAAGUCACUAACUUGGAAGAAGACACUCCUCCUGGGCAUAAAGAAAAAAGGGCGUGGACACCUUCAGAUGCUGUAGUUCUCAUCAGUUCCUGGUUAAACACCAGUAAAGAUCCUGUGGUCAGGAAUGAGCAAAAGUCCGUUGCUUUCUGGAGUAGAAUAGCAGCGUACUACGCGGCUAGUCCCAAGGUGGCUGGGACUGAAACAAGAGAGCCUUGACGCAAGCUUCCUCGCCGAGACUUUGAAUCCUUUUGAUUGAGGUUGUUGGAAGAAAUAUUACAACGGCAUAAAGUGUCAGUUCUUGUCUCUCUGGUAACUAGACUAUGCGACGGAGGAGAUGUGAAGGCGUCCGGAUACAUAUAAAGAAUAAUAUAUACACAGAUACAUCUGGAUCUUUACAUUGAAUCAUAAUGUACAAUAUUAAGAAACAAAAUCUGUAUCAUUUAAGACAAUGAUUUGGUACCACAUUUGGUCUCUUUACAUCUGUAUAUGCUGUUGUUAUCAUGUUUCAAAUAAAUGCUUAUGAUUUAGUAACAAGUUCUGAACGUUUUACUCGUCUAGUAAUAAGAUAAUGUUACAUUUUUCUUAUGAAUGUGAAUUAUUGAAACUUGAUUUGGUUGUUGGACAAAAAAUUUCACACCUUCUUUUCAACAUCACCAAUAUCUUUUUGAAUCCACAUUAUAUGUAUGCAGAUUAUAAAGAAACACAAUCAGGUCUUCAGAGUAGGCUCAUCUCUCAUAACUAGCAUAGUUACAGAGCGUAAACUAAACAAGUUUUGCAUCAAAUCUCCAUUGGAAUUAGAACAAUCUCAGAAACAACAAACUUAGAAAGCUAGAAAUCAAGAGUCACUUAAAGGGCAAAAAAAAACAGGUAAAGAAACAGAAGAACAAACCAACAGCAAUACUAAAACCA